CCUACGGGAGGCAGCAGUGAGGAAUAUUGGUCAAUGGGCGGAAGCCUGAACCAGCCAAGUAGCGUGCAGGAUGACGGCCCUACGGGUUGUAAACUGCUUUUAUACGGGAAUAACGCGCCUUACGUGUAGGGCUUUGCAUGUACCGUAUGAAUAAGGACCGGCUAAUUCCGUGCCAGCAGCCGCGGUAAUACGGAAGGUCCGGGCGUUAUCCGGAUUUAUUGGGUUUAAAGGGAUCGUAGGCCGCAUGUCAAGCGUGCUGUGAAAUGUCCGGGCUCAACCCGGGCCUUGCAGUGCGAACUGGGGUGCUUGAGUCCGCGGAAAGCAGGCGGAAUUCGUCGUGUAGCGGUGAAAUGCUUAGAUAUGACGAAGAACCCCGAUUGCGAAGGCAGCUUGCUGCAGCGGAACUGACGCUGAUGCUCGAAAGCGCGGGUAUCGAACAGGAUUAGAUACCCCAGUAGUC
rnacentral:rRNA from 1 species